UACAGAGGCCUCGAGCGUUAAUCGGAAUCACUGGGCUUAAAGGGUGCGUAGGCGGCGCUGCAAGUGCCUUGUGAAAUCCCAUGGCUUAACCGUGGAACUGCUUGGUAUACUGGCUGUCUUGAGCCACUUAGGGGCAACCGGAACAAACGGUGGAGCGGUGAAAUGCGUAGAUAUCGUUUGGAACGCCAAUGGUGAAAACAGGUUGCUGGGAGUGUGCUGACGCUGAGACACGAAAGCCAGGGGAGCAAACGGG
rnacentral:rRNA from 1 species